AUUGAACGCUGGCGGCAUGCUUUAAAAUGGAAGUUGAACGGGAACCGGCCUUUGGGUGCUGACCGAUGGCGAACGGGGGAGGUAUUCCUCGGGAAGGUACCCGGGGGUGGGGGUAAAGGAAGGAAAGCCUGGCUAAUUACGAAAGUGGGUUGGGGGUGGAAGGGGGGGGCCGGGGAGGCAUGUUUGGCCUCGGGCCUUUUGAGCGGCCGAUGGCGGAUUUGAUAGUUGGUGGGGUAAAGGGCUACCAAGGGGACGAUCCGUAGCUGGUCUUGGAGGACGACCAGCCACACUGGGACUGAGACACGGCCCAGACUCCUACGGGAGGCAGCAGUGGGGAAUUUUGGACAAUGGGCGCAAGCCUGAUCCAGCAAUGCCGCGUGCGGGAAGAAGGCCUUCGGGUUGUAAACCGCUUUUGGCAGGAACGAAACGGUGUCCGCUAAUACCGGGCGCUAAUGACGGUACCUGCAGAAUAAGCACCGGCUAACUACGUG
rnacentral:rRNA from 1 species